UAGUUAAUGAACUUGUAUAAGUAUAUAUUUUGAAAUUAUAAAAAGAUUAAUAAAUCUUAUUAA
rnacentral:tRNA from 1 species